GGCAUUAGCUCAGUUGGUAGAGCGUUUCGUUCGCAAUGAAAAGGUCAGGAGUUCGAAUCUCCUAUGCUCC
rnacentral:tRNA from 1 species